AUAUACUUAACCACAAGAGGACCUCUUAUUUGAAACCAAUGGAGAAAAUAAGAUAUCAAAACACCGAAUGCCAAACAACUCUAGUCAGCAAACAAGAUCAUCUAAAGACAGAGAGAUUCUAGUAGCUGACAACAACUCUGCCUUCCUCCUUCUCCGCAAGAGCAUCCCGGUCUGACCACUUUUGCUUUGUAGAUUUUUCUCUAGUUCGUGAAGUGGGCUUUGAAGAGUUCUUCUUACCCCUUUUCAAACUUCAUGGAGGAUUUCUGGUGGAUAACUUUGCCCCUCUGUCAUUGGAUUGUCAAAAACAAAAAUAAAAAAAACAGAAAAGGGGAAUCUUUUUGUCUCAUCAAGCUAUCUAAACAUUAAGAGCACCAAAUGAAUUGCGGCCAAUAAAAAUCCAAACUUUGAAUAAAAAUUUCCUCUAACAAAUACAGAGAUUCUACUUCAUAAAGAAAAUAAACCUGCUAGGACAAAGGAUGCUUUACAGUUUCUGAUUGAUGAUUCUGGAACUGAACAGUUUUCUGAUAGAGAAAAAGGGAGUGUGGCUGUCAAGUUUUUCUCUGAACUAGUUAAAUCUUCUUCUCCUAGCCAUGUAUCAGAGUAUCUGCUUAAUUUUCAGCCAAGAGUUUCGACUGCGAUGAAUCAAGAUUUAACUCGAAAGAUUUCUGAGUUAGAAAUUAGAGAAGCUGCUUUCUCAAUAAACAGUGAUAAAGCUCCAGGACCUGAUGGAUUGACUGGCUUUUUCUUUCAAAAAUAUUGGAGUGUGAUCAAGGACCAAGUGUUAUCUGAAGUUAGUAAGUUUUUUGACACAGGGAUCAUUCCCGAGGAAUGGAAUCAUACUCAUUUGUGUUUAAUUCCUAAGGUCUAUCCUCCUCAAAGAAUGACUGAUUUAAGACCCGUAAGUCUUUGCUCUGUUCUUUAUAAGAUUGUGUCAAUUAGAUCUUGGUGAAUAGGCUGAAGAAGCAUCUGUCUCAUAUUGUGUCUCCUACUCAAGCUGCCUUUGUUUCAGAGAGAUUGAUAUCUGAUAAUGUCUUGAUAGCUCAUGAAGCUAUUCAUAGUUUGAAAUCUCAUCCUGUUUUUUCUACAUCCUCGAUGGUAGUAAAGACUGACAUGUCUAAGGCUUAUGACAGAGUUGAAUGGUCAUUUCUCAAAGAAAUUCUACAUUCACUGGGUUUCAAUAAUCUUUGGAUUUCUUGGAUAAUGGGAUGUGUGACAUCUGUUACAUAUUCAGUACUGAUCAAUGGCCAACCUUUUGGUUUUAUUACACCUGAAAGAGGCAUUCGUCAAGGGGAUCCUCUUUCUCCUUUUCUGUUUGUACUUUGCACUGAAGCUUUGAUUCAUCUUUUUGAUCAAUCUACACGUGAAGGUACAAUAUCUGGCAUUCAAUUUCAUCCUUCAGGUCCAGUCAUCAACAACUUAUUGUUUGCGGACGAUAGUCUCUUUCUAUGUAAAGCCAAUAAAGAUCAAUGUUUGGAGAUGUUAAAUUGUCUAGCGAAAUAUAUAUGAGAGAAUCUCUGGCCAAAAGAUCAACAAAAGGAAAUCAGCCAUUACUUUUGGAUCUAAAAUUGAUGAUACUACAAGGAAGUGGAUUAAAGAUAAAACAGAGAUUGAGAUGGAAGGUGGGACAGGGAAUUAUCUAGGCUUACCGGAGUGUUUUAGUGGCUCUAAGAAAAAAUUGUUGGACUACAUUAAAGUCAGAUUGAAGAACAGACUAACAGGAUGGUUUGCAAAAAAUUUAUCACAAGGUGGUAAGGAAGUCCUUAUUAAAUCUGUGGCCAUGGCUCUCCCUGUUUAUGCAAUGACCUGUUUCAAACUGCCAAAGACUACUAUUCAGAAUCUGACAAGCGCUAUUAUGGAUUUUUGGUGGAGUAACUCAGAAGAUCACAAAAAGAUUCACUGGGUCGGGAUUGAAAAGAUGACAUUUAAAGAAUCAAAAACUCAAAGUUUGUAUAAAGAAUCCUUCCUUUAUUAAUGUUUAGAAAAUCUUCUCAAAACUAAACACAAGCUUUCUCUUCGCUCUCUUAUGAUCAUACAUCCUUCUUAUGAUCUCUAAUUAUAUAGUUAUGAAUUUCCUAUUCUAAUUUCCUUUUUAGAUUAGGAUUACAACUUUUUCCUUUUCCUAAUUAGAUUCCUAUUUCCUUUAAGGAUAUCUUCUAGAAUCUUCAUGAAGCUUACCCAACAUUCACCCCUUUAAGCUUCAAGUUGUUCUUCAUGAGAUCUUGAACUCCGAUCAUUUCUCUCAUCUUCUUAAACUUGAUUUUCGCCAAGGCUUUGGUAAGAAUGUCUGCACGCUGUUCUUCUCCGGGUACAUGCUCCACUUCAAUCAAUUUGUUCUCUACACAUUCACGGAUGAAGUGAAAACGUUUGUGGAUGUGUUUGCUCCUUUUGUGGAAAACAGGGUUCUUGGUGAGCUCGAUAGCCGAUUUGUUGUCAAUGCGGAUCAUCGUCUUCUCAUACUUCUUCCCUGUGAUUUCACUUAGCAAGUCUUGUAUCCAUAUAGCUUGCUUAGCUGCUUCCGUAGCUGCCAUGAACUCUGAUUCACAUGAAGACAAAGUCACUGUUUCUUGUUUUUGCGAGCACCAAGUUAUGGGAGCUUCUCCGAUAUAAAACACAUGUCCCGUGGUGCUUCUACCGUCGUCAGGGUCUGUGUUGUGGCUACUAUCACUAUAGCCUACAAUGUCUGGUGCUCCUUUCUUGUAUGUGAUUCCAUAGCUUACCGUUCCUUGUAGAUACCUUAGGAUUUGUUUCAAAGCAUUGCCGUGUGAUUCUCUUGGAUCAUGCAUGUAUUUGCUCAGAAUCCCCACUGAGAAUGCAAGAUCCGGUCGAGAGUGUAAGAGAUAUCUCAAGCAUCCAAUCCUUCUUCGAUACAUGGUAGCGUCGAUCUCUGGUUCAUCCAAUCCUUUUGACAAUUGCAAACCGAACUCCAUUGGUAUGUGUGUCGGGUUGCAAGCAUCCAAACCAGCUUCCUUAAGAAUUCGACGAGCAUAGGCUUCUUGCUUGAUUUCAAUUCCGUUGAUUCCUUGACUCACUUCAAUACCAAGGUAGUAAGUAAGUUUCCCAAGGUCAGACAUCUCGAACUUUGAAGACAUUCCAGCUUUAAACUCCUUGAUGAGUUCCAAUGUACUUCCUGUUACAAAAAGAUCAUCAACGUAUACGGCUACAAUCAAAAUCUUAGCUCCUUCUUCCUUGCGGUACACGGAACUUUCCUUUUGACACUUCUUAAACUUCAAAGUCUUUAGAAUUUGGUCAAGUUUUGUGUUCCAUGCGCGAGGAGCUUGACGUAGACCAUAAAGAGCUUUCUUGAGUUUGAAAACCUUAUGUUCUUCUCCCUUCUUUUCAAAUCCAUCAGGUUGUGAAACGUAAACGUCCUCCGUUAGUUCACCAUGUAGAAAGGCGGUCUUUACAUCGAGAUGAUGAAUCUCCCAACCAUGUGAAGCUGCCAAUCCAAUCAACAUUCUGAUUGAUUCUAACCUUGCAACUGGUGCAAAUACUUCGUCAAAAUCAAUCCCUUCUCUUUGUGCAUAUCCUUUAGCAACAAGUCUAGCCUUGAACUUGUUAAUUGUUCCAUCAGCGUUCCUUUUGAUCUUGAAAACCCACUUAAGACCAAUCACUUUUACACCUUGUGGUUUCUCACCUAGAUCCCACGUUUUGUUUUUGUUAAUCGAGUCGAUUUCCUCUUGACAUGCCUUUGUCCAUUCGACUGAUUCUUUUGCUUCUUGGUAAUUUAGUGGCUCGUCAUUGAGUGACAAGAGAAGUAUUUCACAUUCUAGAUCAGCUAGAAGUACAUAAUCAGCGAGAUAACCUGGAAGAUUACGUUGUCGACCUGAUCUUCUCAGUGGUGCUAUCUCUGUUUCACCAUUGUCGUGAUUCUGCACUUCUUCUUCCUCUGUUUCUUCUUGAUCAACUUCAGGUUGCAAGCUAUUGUCCGUGAAUGGACCUUGUCCGUUGUCUACAGCUGCUCCCCAUGUUAAUCGAAACAUUCCUGGUUGAUCUUCUUCGUUUCCUGCUCCCUUCCAAUUCCAAGACUCCUUCUCAUUGAAAACCACAUCACGACUAACAACCACUCUUCUCGUUGUUGGGUUGUAAAGUCGGUAUGCCUUCGUUCCUGGUUCUAUUCCAAGAUGAACAAGCGUUUGUGAGCGAUCAUCAAGCUUUUUCAAGUGCUCUGUUUCCACCUUUGCAUGAGCAAUGCAUCCAAAAAUCCUAAGAUGCUCGAUACUUGGCUUUCUUUCUCUUAGGCAUUCAUACGGUGUUUGAUUCUUUAGAGCUCGCGUCGGAACUCUAUUGAUCAAAUAUGUUGAAUGUCUUACAGCCUCUCCCCAUAAAUAAUUUGGAACAUUCAUUGCCUUAAGAAUGCUCCGCGUCAUCUCCAUUAACGUACGAUUUCUUCUCUCAACUACUCCAUUUUGUUGAGGAGUAUAGGGAGCUGUAAGAUGCCUUCUGAUUCCACUUGUGUUACAGUAAUCUUGAAAAUCUCUUGAUGUAAACUCACCGCCUCUGUCUGUGCGCAAAGUUACAAUUUUCUUGUCACAUUCCUUCUCGACAAGAGCUUUAAACGCUUGAAACUUCUCAAAGGCUUGGCUCUUCUCUUUGAGCAAAAUUGUCCACAUAUAUCUAGUGUAAUCAUCCACUAUUACAAAGAUAUAUUGGUUCCUAGCAAGUGUAGCUGGAGAUAUAGGUCCACACAAAUCUGCGUGUAGUAAUUCCAAUGCUCGUGUAGACCUAUAUUGUGUUGAAUUUGGAAACGAAUGUCUCGUCUGUUUUCCUACCAAACAUGAUUCACACAACAAUUUCUUACUUGUGAUUUUAGGCAUGCCUUGUACCAUCUCUUGUGUAGACAUCGAGUUCAGCGUUUUAAAACUGAUAUGGCCAAGUCUCGCAUGCCACUUCCAUGGUUCUUCAUCAAUUCUUGAGUGUAAACAUGUUGGUUUGCCUAUUUUUAGGCUGAUCUUGUACAAUCUAUUUGGAGAACGUGUUACCUUUGCCAAUAAACAUCCAUUAGGAUCACGUAAGGUGAGAUAAUCAUCCUUCAUUCUCACAUCACAACCGUAUUCUGUAGCUUGUCCUAAGCUAAGAAUGUUACUUUUCAACAUUGGGAUGUAGUAGAUGUCUGUUAGUAGUCUCUGUUCACCGUUCUUUCCUUCAAAGAGAAUUGAUCCCUUUCCUCCAAUACUGACACAAGAUCCAUCACCAAACUUCACCAUUCCUUUGAUGUUCUCAUUUAACUCAGAAAAGUAUCCUUUCUCUCCUGUCAUAUGGUUGCUUGCACCAUUAUCCAAAUACCAAAUUCCAUCUUCUCUUUUGUUUGACUCGAACUUUUCCGGGAUUACCUUCUCUUCAUUCAAGUAAACUAUUUCGUGCAUAUACAAGGCUGUAUCUGCUUCUUCUGUCUCGUUUUUGUUGAGCUCUUGGUCCUUUGGAAUCUUAACCGGGCAAGCAGAUGCGAAGUGACCUGGUUUCUCACACCGGAAACAAAUAAUUUUAGAUCUGUCCUUUUGUUCUCUGUCUUGUGAGCUCCCUCUUCCACGUCCUCUGCCUCUGUUACCCCGACCACGUCCUCUGCCUCUGUCACGUCCUCUUCCUCUACUGUUGUCUCCUUCCGUAUUUGAGAACAAGAGGUUUUGCUGAGUUUCUUGUGCAGCAGCUUGCCCGUUUACACGAGACUCAAAAGCUUUAAAUCUCCCAGUUAUGUCUUCGAAACUAGUUUUAUUUAGGUCCAAGACUUGUUCAAGAGAAGCAAUGAGAUGUAUAAACUUGUUUGCGGGUAGGCUGUUUAGAAACUUUUUCACCAACUUUGGUGCAUCAAUAGGUUGACCUAGCGAGGCUGCUGUCGAUGCUAUCUCUGAUAACUUCCCUGAGUAGCUAUCGAUGGUCUCUGAAUCUUUCAUCUGCAGACGAUCAAAUUCAGACAUUAGGGUUUGGAGACGAGCUUCCUUGACGCGUUCUACACCUUGAUUUUUUGAUUUUAUUGCUUCCCAUAUCACUUUUGGUGAGUCCUGCUCGCCGAUUUGCAGGGUAAGGCUCUCUGGUAUGGAUUGGUACAACAAGGCUGUUGCAACGUCAUUCUUCUCUUCAUUAUCUGUUCCUGGAUUAAUUGCAACCCAAGCUUUGUGAACUCUCAAUGUCGCCUUCAUCCUCAAUGUCCAGACAGCGUAAUUUGUUGUAUUCAACAUCGGACAUUUAACGCCGGAGGAUGAAGUCAGCGUAUUGAUCUCAGAUUUUACUUCAGCCAUGAUUCGUAUGAGUUCCUUUUCUCUCCAGGAUUUGCUCUGAUACCAAAUAAAGAAUCAAAAACUCAAAGUUUGUAUAAAGAAUCCUUCCUUUAUUAAUGUUUAGAAAAUCUUCUCAAAACUAAACACAAGCUUUCUCUUCGCUCUCUUAUGAUCAUACAUCCUUCUUAUGAUCUCUAAUUAUAUAGUUAUGAAUUUCCUAUUCUAAUUUCCUUUUUAGAUUAGGAUUACAACUUUUUCCUUUUCCUAAUUAGAUUCCUAUUUCCUUUAAGGAUAUCUUCUAGAAUCUUCAUGAAGCUUACCCAACAACAUUGCCUAAAAAACUUUGGUGGUUUUGAUUUUAAAGAUCUGGAAAAUUUCAAUCAAGCUCUUUUAGCGAAGCAAGCCUGGCGAUUAUUAUAUGAGCCCAAUUGUCUUUUUUCAAGAUUCUUCCAAAGCAGGUAUUUUGUGAAUUCUCCAUUUAUAAAUGCACCUGUUGGAAGUCGUCCCUCGUAUGCUUGGAGAAGUAUUUUGUUUGGUAGGAAUCUUUUAACUCAAGGACUUAAAAGAAUAAUUGGUAAUGGAAAAGAGACUUUGGUUUGGAUUGAUAAGUGGAUCUAUGAUGGUAGAGAUAGGAGACCCGUAGGAAUUCAAUCCCUCCAAAAUAUCAGACUUAAAAGUGGAUGCUCUCAUCAAUACGCAAACUGGUUGGUGGAAUGAUAGCUUAUUACGAUCUUUGUUCCAUCAUUCAGAUGUUACAAUCAUUAAAGCAUCACGACCUUUAGUUGAUAGGCCAGAUUCUUUUUGUUGGGCUGAAACCAGGAAUGGUAUUUACUCUGUUCGAUCAGGAUAUGAGUUAGCUUAUAGACUUCGUUAUGCAGCUCAGAUUACAGAAGCUACUACGUGUCCUUCAAGAAACUCAAUUUUGGCGGCAUGUUGGAAGGUUCCCACUGUUCCUAAAAUCCAGGUCUUUCUUUGGAAAUUACUAAGAGGUGCUCUAGCUGUAACAGAAAGGCUAAAAACAAGGGGAAUUAAGAAUUAUGAUGGUUGUUUGUUCUGUGAUGCUGAGCUUGAAACAAUUAAUCAUAUCUUGUUUCUCUGUCCUUUUGCGAGACAAGUAUGGGCUUUGUCUAAUAUUCCAUCACCACAUUCAGGCUUUGGUACUUCUGAAUUUGAGAAUCUACAUUAUCUCUUGAGCCUACGAUCACAACAACAUGGGUUCGAAGAUAUUAAGGUUGUUUUCCCUUGGGUUUUAUGGCAUUUGUGGAAAAAUAGGAAUUCUCUUCUUUUUGAAGGUUCAUAUUGUCCAUCAAAUUCCUUAGUUUUAAAAGCAUUGGAGGAUGCUCAAGAAUGGAUUUUGGCUCAAGAGGUCAAAGGAGAAAAUGUGGUUACGCUUCCAAUCAGACAUGACUUCUGGGAACCUCCUUUGCAGGGUGAUUUUAAAUGCAAUAUCGGUUACUCUUGGUCCAAACUACAUCGUCUCGCAGGUGUAUCAUGGGUUCUUAGAGAUUCUAUGAGCAAUGUAGUCCUCCAUAGUCGUCGAUCUUACUCUCAAGUAGUUUCCUUGUUUGAAGCUAAGAUUAAGAGUUGGGAAUGGGCCAUUGAGAGUAUGAAGAGUUUGCAUGUACAGAAAGUGACUUUUGGUGCCACUACAAUGGAGAUAAUCAAAGCCCUUCAUAAACCAAAUGACUGGCCAGCACUUAUAAGUCACAUUUUUCCACUGUUAUCUAUGACUGAUGAGAUGGAAAAUUGGUUCAUUAUUUUUGAACCUAAUAGGUGUAACAAGGGGGCAUAUAAAAUAGCUACAAGUGUUACUUCUGAUAUAAGAGUGAAUUCUUAUGUGGCUCAAAGUUACCCUAGGUGGAUGGAAGGUUUCUUCAUUAAGGAAAAGAGAAAUGCGGCUAGAUUCUACUGAUUCUACCUCUUCUCCAAGCUAUGAUAGAGAUCCAGGAUCCAGAGCUAAAAGGACGAUGGAGAUUGGAGAAUUUUCUAAAAGAAAGUGUUAAAAGGAAUCGUCAAGAGCAGAUGAGGAAUAUCCGGCAACGUCGUCAAGAGCAUGAGAUCAAGUUUUAUCCGACCAAUCCUAAUCAUCCUUAAUGUUUCAAACAAGGGUACAACUCAGAGGAUACGUGAAUCAUAUCUCUGAGAUUUCACAGGUUUUUUGGUUUAGUUUCUUAGGUCUAUGAAGAAAUAAAGAUCCACUUUUUAGUGUGACUGUAUAGUUCAAGAAUGUGAAUCUUUUUGGAAGGAAGUUCUUGGGUAACUGAAGCUUAUGCUUCUCUUAGCGGACAGUAUUGGCAGACAAAUGCUGAUGUUUAGCUCGAGUGGAAUACUUUUUGACGAGCCUUACAACUUAAGUUUGCGGGUGAAUUCUGGAUUUUCAAGAUUCAGCUUCAACGAAGACAGGUUUCAUGCAAGCAGUGAAUCUCCUUUCGUCUCCUUGUUUUUCUUGUUCUUGUAUCUUUCUACUUAUCGUUGUCUUUCACUUAUUUAUUAGGUGUCUUAUUUGGGUUUUAAUCCCUGUAACUUUACUUGCCUCUCCUCAAUGGGUCUCCAUUUGUGGAUGCUGUUUGUAUGACUGGUGAUGUUUUAUAUAUAAUACAUAAUCCUUUUUGGAAAAAGAAGAAAAUAAACCUAAAACCAUAGGAUAACAUAGAGCUUAGAAUAUCCUACUUCUGAGAAAUCAAAUGAUAAGAAGGAAUCAACACGCAUAUAUAGGACAAUCAGUAGUAAUCACUACCCUAAGAAUCUCUUUGCAAUCGUCAGGAAACAAAGCAAUGAGCUUUAUCACCUUUGGGAUAAGCAAUAAGACGCCUGUACAAAAAACAAACAAAGUCCCAUCUAAAACUUAAAUUCCACAAAAAAAAAAAAAAAAAAAGGAUGAAAUUGUUUGAAAUCGUUUCUCCAUUUUACCAAUCGCAGCCCGCGACAGUGAAGAAGCAAGAGUAGCAACACUUCUCUUUCAAAGAUGAGAUAUUUUCCAAAAAUCCCAAUUGAAAUUUCUUCACCAUUUCCUUACCAGAGCACGAAAAGGUACGUGAAGCUCGUAAAGCAGUAUAUGAAUCGCAACAAUUUUGCUUCCAAAUCCAGUA
rnacentral:lncRNA from 1 species